rnacentral:lncRNA from 1 species
AUGAGAGUGGUUGUGGGGGUCAGAUCUAUUGUUGUGGAAGCCUCAGUUUCUGAUGAUUGUGCUGUUGUUGUAUUUAGUGAGGAUAUCAGAGUGGUUGUUGGUGUCACCUCUGUAGUUGUGGAAGCUUCAGUUUCUGUUGAUGGCUCUGUUGUUGUUGAACUUGGUAAGGAUAUAAGAGUGGUUGUGGGGAUCUCAUCUAUGGUUGUGGAUGCUCCAGUUUCUGUUGAUGGUACUGUUGUUGUUGAAGCAGCAUUUGUUGCUGUCGAAGGUGCAGUUGUACUUGGUGAGGAUAUGAGAGAGGUUGUGGGGGUCACAUGUAUGGUUGUGGAAGCUUCAGUUUCUGCUGAUGGUGCUAUUGUUGUUGUACUUCGUGAUGAUAUGAGAGUGGUUGUGGGGGUCACCUCUCUAGUUGUGGAAGCUUCAGUUUCUGUUGAUGGUGCUGUUGUUCUUGGUGAGGAUAUGAGAGUGGUUGUGGGGGUCACCUCUAUGGUUGUGGAAGCCCGUUCUGUUGAUGGUGCUGUUGUUAAUGUAAGCAGCAUUUGUUGUCUGUUGAAGGUGUAGUUGUACUUGGUGAGGAUAUAAGUGUGGUUGUGGGGUCACCUCUAUGGUUGUGGAAGCGUUGGUUCUGAUGAUGGUGCUAUUGUUGUACUUGGUGAGGAUAUAUGUGUGGUUGUGGGAAUGACAUCUAUAGUUUCUGUUUCGAUGGUGCUGUAGUUGUUGUACUUAGUGAGGAUAUCAGAGUGGUUGUGGGGGUCACCUCUAUGGUUGUGGAAGCCUCAGUUUCUGUUGAUGAUGCUCGUUCGUUGUAUUUAGUGAGGAUAUGAGAGUGGUUGUGGGGGUCACCUCUAUAGUUGUGGAAACUUCAGUUUCUGUUGAUGGUGCUGUUGUUGUUGAAGCAGCAUUUGUUGUUGAUGGUGCAGUUUCACUUGGUGAGGAUAUGUGAGUGGUUGUGGGGGUGGGGGUCACAUCUAUGGUUGUGGAAGCCUCAGUUUCUGUUGAUGGUGCUGUUGUUGUAUUUAGUGAGGAUAUCAGAGUGGUUGUGGGGGUCACCUCUAUGGUUGUGGAAACAUCAGUUUCUGCUGAUGGUGCUGUUGUUGUUGAAACAGCAUUUGUUGUUCUUGAUGGUGCAGUUGUACUUUGUGAGGAUAUGAGAGAGGUUGUGGGGGUCACAUGUAUGGUUGUGUAAGCUUCAGUUUCUGCUGAUGGUGCUGUUGUUGUACUUCGUGGGAUGGAACGGAAGACAAUACAAGAUACAAAUAAAAAGAGCAAUUAUA